AAAGCAGGUCGCAAUUACAGUGCUUCGUUUUGUAGGAGUACUGCCAUUAUCCUGCUGAAAGAAAAGCUAUGUUGAGUGUUUCUGAUUUUACCUUACUGGGAGUAAAAUCAAGACACCUUGACACGAACAGCA